rnacentral:rRNA from 1 species
UGGGGGAUAUUGCGCAAUGGGGGCAACCCUGACGCAGCAACGCCGCGUGAAGGAUGAAGGUUUUCGGAUUGUAAACUUCUUUUAUUAAGGACGAAACUUGACAGUACUUAAUGAAUAAGCUCCGGCUAACUACGUGCCAGCAGCCGCGGUAAUACGUAGGGAGCAAGCGUUGUCCGGAUUUACUGGGUGUAAAGGGUGCGUAGGCGGCUUUGCAAGUCAGAUGUGAAAUCUAUGGGCUCAACCCAUAAACUGCAUUUGAAACUGUAGAGCUUGAGUGAAGUAGAGGCAGGCGGAAUUCCCCGUGUAGCGGUGAAAUGCGUAGAGAUGGGGAGGAACACCAGUGGCGAAGGCGGCCUGCUGGGCUUUAACUGACGCUGAGGCACGAAAGCGUGGGUAGCAAACAGGAUUAGAUACCCUGGUAGUCCACGCUGUAAACGAUGAUUACUAGGUGUGGGGGGUCUGACCCCUUCCGUGCCGGAGUUAACACAAUAAGUAAUCCACCUGGGGAGUACGGCCGCAAGGUUGAAACUCAAAGGAAUUGACGGGGGCCCGCACAAGCAGUGGAGUAUGUGGUUUAAUUCGAAGCAACGCGAAGAACCUUACCAGGUCUUGACAUCCAACUAACGAAGUAGAGAUACAUUAGGUGCCCUUCGGGGAAAGUUGAGACAGGUGGUGCAUGGUUGUCGUCAGCUCGUGUCGUGAGAUGUUGGGUUAAGUCCCGCAACGAGCGCAACCCUUGCUAUUAGUUGCUACGCAAGAGCACUCUAAUAGGACUGCCGUUGACAAAACGGAGGAAGGUGGGGACGACGUCAAAUCAUCAUGCCCCUUAUGACCUGGGCUACACACGUACUACAAUGGAUGUUAACAGAGGGAAGCAAGACAGCGAUGUGGAGCAAACCCCUAAAAACAUUCUCAGUUCAGAUUGCAGGCUGCAACCCGCCUGCAUGAAGAUGGAAUUGCUAGUAAUCGCGGAUCAGCAUGCCGCGGUGAAUACGUUCCC